rnacentral:tRNA from 1 species
GCUCUUAUGGUGUAAUGGUUAGCACUCUAGACUUUGAAUCCAGCGAUCCGAGUUCAAAUCCCGGUAGGAGCU